UACGUAGGUGGCAAGCGUUAUCCGGAAUUACUGGGCGUAAAGCGCUCGCAGGCGGUCUUUUAAGUUUGACGUGAAAGCUCCCGGCUUAACUGGGAGAGGUCGUUGAAGACUGGAAGACUUGAGGCAAUGAGAGGGGUGUAGAAUUCCUGGUGUAGUGGUGGAAUGCGUAGAUAUCAGGAGGAAUACCAGUGGCGAAAGCGGCACCCUAGCGUUAGCCUGACGCUCAUGAGCGAAAGCGUGGGGAGCGAACGGG
rnacentral:rRNA from 1 species